rnacentral:rRNA from 1 species
CCAAUAGCGUAUAUUAAAGUUGUUGCAGUUAAAAAGCUCGUAGUUGAAUUUCGGAAUCAAUUUGUUGGUCGUGCCUCGGUACGUACUGGUAUUAUUGGUUUCUACCUUCUGAAGAACCUUGAUGUCAUUAAUUUGGUGUCUUGGGGAAUCAGGACUGUUACUUUGAAAAAAUUAGAGUGUUUAAAGCAAGCAUACGCUUGAAUACAUUAGCAUGGAAUAAUGAAAUAGGACGUUUGAUUCUAUUUUGUUGGUUUCUAGGAUCGACGUAAUGAUUUAUAGGGAUAGUUGGGGGCAUUAGUAUUCAAUUGUCAGAGGUGAAAUUCUUGGAUUUAUUGAAGACUAACUACUGCGAAAGCAUUUGCCAAGGAUGUUUUCAUUAAUCAAGAACGAAAGUUAGGGGAUCGAAGACGAUCAGAUACCGUCGUAGUCUUAACCAUAAACUAUGCCGACUAGGGAUCGGAUGAUGUUAAUUUUUUAAUGACUCAUUCGGCGCCUUACG